rnacentral:rRNA from 1 species
GGGUUGUGAGGUUAAGCGACUAAGCGUACACGGUGGAUGCCUAGGCAGUCAGAGGCGAUGAAGGGCGUGCUAAUCUGCGAAAAGCGUCGGCAAGGUGAUAUGAACCGUUAUACCCGACGAUACCCGAAUGGGGGAAACCCAGUGUGUUUCGACACACUAUCAUGGCAUGAAUACAUAGUGUCAUGAGGCGAACCGGGGGAACUGAAACAUCUCAGUACCCCGAGGAAAAGAAAUCAACCGAGAUUCCCCCAGUAGCGGCGAGCGAACGGGGAGGAGCCCAGAACCUGAAUCGGCUUGUGUGUUAGUGGAAGCGUCUGGAAAGUCGCACGAUACAGGGUGACAGUCCCGUACACAAAAAUGCACAAGUUGUGAGUUCGAUGAGUAGGGCGGGACACGUGGUAUCCUGUCUGAAUAUGGGGGGACCAUCCUCCAAGGCUAAAUACUCCUGACUGACCGAUAGUGAACCAGUACCGUGAGGGAAAGGCGAAAAGAACCCCGGCGAGGGGAGUGAAACAGAACCUGAAACCGUGUACGUACAAGCAGUGGGAGCCCUGAUUUAUCAGGGUGACUGCGUACCUUUUGUAUAAUGGGUCAGCGACUUAUAUUCUGUAGCAAGGUUAACCGUAUAGGGGAGCCGCAGGGAAACCGAGUCUUAACUGGGCGUUAAGUUGCAGGGUAUAGACCCGAAACCCGGUGAUCUAGCCAUGGGCAGGUUGAAGGUUGGGUAACACUAACUGGAGGACCGAACCGACUAAUGUUGAAAAAUUAGCGGAUGACUUGUGGCUGGGGGUGAAAGGCCAAUCAAACCGGGAGAUAGCUGGUUCUCCCCGAAAGCUAUUUAGGUAGCGCCUCGUGAAGUCAUCUUCGGGGGUAGAGCACUGUUUCGGCUAGGGGGGCCAUCCCGGCUUACCAACCCGAUGCAAACUGCGAAUACCGAAGAAUGUUAUCACGGGAGACACACGGCGGGUGCUAACGUCCGUCGUGAAGAGGGAAACAACCCAGACCGCCAGCUAAGGUCCCAAAGUCAUGGUUAAGUGGGAAACGAUGUGGGAAGGCCCAGACAGCCAGGAUGUUGGCUUAGAAGCAGCCAUCAUUUAAAGAAAGCGUAAUAGCUCACUGGUCGAGUCGGCCUGCGCGGAAGAUGUAACGGGGCUAAAACCAUGCACCGAAGCUGCGGCAGCGACGUUUAGGCGUUGUUGGGUAGGGGAGCGUUCUGUAAGCCGUUGAAGGUGGCCUGUGAGGGCUGCUGGAGGUAUCAGAAGUGCGAAUGCUGACAUAAGUAACGAUAAUGCGGGUGAAAAACCCGCACGCCGGAAGACCAAGGGUUCCUGUCCAACGUUAAUCGGGGCAGGGUGAGUCGACCCCCUAAGGCGAGGCUGAAAAGCGUAGUCGAUGGGAAACAGGUUAAUAUUCCUGUACUCGGUGUUACUGCGAAGGGGGGACGGAGACGGCUAUGUCAUCCGGGCGACGGUUGUCCCGGUUUAAGCGUGCAGGUGGGUGGACCAGGCAAAUCCGGUCUGCUGUCAACACUGAGGCGUGAUGACGAGGCACUACGGUGCUGAAGUGACAGAUGCCCUGCUUCCAGGAAAAGCCUCUAAGCAUCAGGUAACAGUGAAUCGUACCCCAAACCGACACAGGUGGUCAGGUAGAGAAUACUCAGGCGCUUGAGAGAACUCGGGUGAAGGAACUAGGCAAAAUGGUGCCGUAACUUCGGGAGAAGGCACGCUGGGCAUGGUGAAGUCCCUUGCGGACGGAGCUGGGCCCAGUCGCAGAUACCAGCUGGCUGCAACUGUUUAAUAAAAAACACAGCACUGUGCAAACACGAAAGUGGACGUAUACGGUGUGACGCCUGCCCGGUGCCGGAAGGUUAAUUGAUGGGGUUAUCCGCAAGGAGAAGCUCUUGAUCGAAGCCCCGGUAAACGGCGGCCGUAACUAUAACGGUCCUAAGGUAGCGAAAUUCCUUGUCGGGUAAGUUCCGACCUGCACGAAUGGCGUAAUGAUGGCCAGGCUGUCUCCACCCGAGACUCAGUGAAAUUGAACUCGCUGUGAAGAUGCAGUGUACCCGCGGCAAGACGGAAAGACCCCGUGAACCUUUACUAUAGCUUGACACUGAACCUUGAACCUUGAUGUGUAGGAUAGGUGGGAGGCUGAGAAAUGUGGACGCCAGUCUGCAUGGAGCCGACCUUGAAAUACCACCCUUUAAUGUUUGAUGUUCUAACGUGGGCCCGUGAACCGGGUUGCGGACAGUGUCUGGUGGGUAGUUUGACUGGGGCGGUCUCCUCCCAAAGCGUAACGGAGGAGCACGAAGGUUAGCUAAUCCUGGUCGGACAUCAGGAGGUUAGUGCAAAGGCAUAAGCUAGCUUGACUGCGAGAGUGACGGCUCGAGCAGGUGCGAAAGCAGGUCUUAGUGAUCCGGUGGUUCUGAAUGGAAGGGCCAUCGCUCAACGGAUAAAAAGGUACUCCGGGGAUAACAGGCUGAUACCGCCCAAGAGUUCAUAUCGACGGCGGUGUUUGGCACCUCGAUGUCGGCUCAUCACAUCCUGGGGCUGAAGUAGGUCCCAAGGGUAUGGCUGUUCGCCAUUUAAAGUGGUACGCGAGCUGGGUUUAGAACGUCGUGAGACAGUUCGGUCCCUAUCUGCCGUGGGCGUUGGAAGAUUGAGGGGGGUUGCUCCUAGUACGAGAGGACCGGAGUGAACGCACCGCUGGUGUUCGGGUUGUCAUGCCAAUGGCACUGCCCGGUAGCUACGUGCGGAAGAGAUAACCGCUGAAAGCAUCUAAGCGGGAAACUUGCCCCGAGAUGAGUCUUCCCUGGGCCCUUGAGGCCCCUGAAGGGACGUUCGAGACGAGGACGUUGAUAGGCUGGGUGUGUAAGCGUAGCGAUACGUUGAGCUAACCAGUACUAAUGACCCGAGAGGCUUAACCUUACAACACCGAAGGUGUUU